CCUAGCUUUUCUUCCUGGGCAGGGAUGUGACAAAAGGCUUCAGCCUGCCUGCUCUGGCUCUGCCACCAGCCCGGAGUGGGAAGCCUCAUCUAGAAUUUCUUUUUCAGGACAGAAUGUUUCAGUUCCGAAGAAUACAACAUUACAACGGAAGACUCAGUGCGCCAAAUAAAUCCCACUAGAAGAUAGCCUUAAUCUAAUGCCAUACUUCCAUGAGUUUCCGAAGAAGAGUAGAUGUCAUCAAAACUAUAUGCAAAUGCGAAGAAGGUGGCUCAGCACCCUGUCUGCAGCACAUGAACCCUGUCUGCAUUGGAAUCCGCAGCACUCCCCUGGAGAGGAGAGCUAUAUGUACUCCCAGCACUAGGCUAUGGAAUUGGAGACAGGAGGAAUCCUGGAACUCAGCAGCCAGACUAGCUGAAUCAGUGAGAGACUCAAGACUCAAAAACUCAAUAAUAAUGAUGAUAAUAAUAAUGUAGAGCUAACUGAGGAAGCCACCCACACGAACGUACAUAUGUUAGCAGGGACUUUCAGGAGCAGACUCCCUAUUAAUGUACCUUCAAAGUAUGUUUCCCUUUAUUUUCUGCUAAAGCCUUACGGUGCAAGAUCACCAUGCCCAUAGGCAUAUCUCUUCAUCUCUGGGAGCUCUGCUAUAUGCUCUGAGACUUUUGAGCUGCAUAUCAAAAAUAGAGCUGCUAUCUUUUCCUUUGAAAUUACAAUCUUAAACUGAGCUAGGUCUGGAAUGUAUUCCAUCUUGGAGGGAAGGGAAGCUCCUUUAGAUUCAAGGAGUUCGAAAGGGAGGCACGUUAGACUCAGGAAGGCCCUGAAAACUCCCCAGAUGUGACCAUGCCCCCUCUCCCCAAGCUUAUUUAUAUAAGCAAUAAAGACUGCUGAGGGACAUUCGUGGACCGGCCAAGCUGCCUGGAAGAGGCAGAGAGCAGACAGUCUUUGAAGUUCUCUAACCCGUCAAGCAGCUUGCAUGUGGCGCACUGAGCCCUAGCCUCCCAGCUUUCAUGAGCUAUCAUCCAUGUUGGGGUGGGCUUUGGUGAUGGAGCUGCCAUUGAAUCAGGCCUGAUCCUGUAAGUGAUCCUUUACCCAUACUCCUGUGGGUAACCUCAGGAAAACCCUUUUCUUCAGUGGUAUCUGUACUUUGUCUUGGAUAAUUGUCUGGGAUGAGUAAAGAUUUGUUCAUGUCUUCCCAGGAACAGUGUCAUACAACACACACACAAAGUGUCUAUAUAUGCAAAGCUAUUCGGACUUACUAAAUGGGUACAUAGAAAGAUAUGCUAUGUACUUCUGGACAUGAAAAUAGCCCGAAAGGCUGUUGAAAUGAGCAGUGAACAAAACUAACUUGGUUUAUCUGUGAGGGUCGUAAGAAUUAUUGAUUAUAUAAAUGGAAUUGGUAAUAGUAUUGACUGCUAUUACAAUCUUAAGGCUGUGUGCCCAUCUAUCAAGGUCCCCCUUCCAACAACCCAGUACAUAGCCUUAAGGUUAUAAUAGACAUGUCCUUUAGUUUACAUUUGGUGGGGAAUGCAUAAGUGAACUUUAAACAGUAGAUACAUUGAUCUUAGAAGCAGAGGGACAAUCACUCCUUUACCACUUAAAUUUUAUGUAAUAAGUUUAAUCCUUACAAUCCCUUACUUUAACUGAAUUACAUUUUCUUACUGUGUAGCCCUGAGUGGCCUGGAACUUACCGUGCAGAUCAGGCUGCUCUUCAACUCACAGUGAUCUGUUUCAGCCUCUCGACUAUUGGGAUUGAAGGCAUGAGCCACAAGCCUGACUUGGAUAAUCAUUUUAUCAUGCCACUUUAUAAGUGCCAAAGAUUUAUGCCAAGUUGUAUUAUUUGUGUGAGAACAUGUAUGUGCCAUAUAAACAUUUUACUACAUUAAUGUUAUAACUCUGGAAAAUUUAGUCAAAGAAAGAGCUAAAGGUGAGCGUUGCAAGCACAUAAUUUUCUAUAUAUUAAGUUACCACUUGAAGAUAAGAUGGAUCAAAGUAGCUAUAUACUUCAGCGUGUCAGGGGACAUAGAUAAUUUGAACAAAGAUGUGAUUAGUCCUAUGAUUUUUGUCAAUUGGAACAGCUUCACGUUUGUUAUUUAAGUUAUAAGGCACAUUGUAAAGACACAAACCCCAGAGAAGACCCGGAAUGAAGCUUCAUGGCAGAGACCUCGCAUUCACCACUCCCAGUAUGACAUAAAAUAGAAAUUAAAAAACAAAAGCCAAAAUAACGGUGCCCUCUGUUUCUUAUUCGGUGAUUCGUUAAUAAAUUAAUAAGUAACCUGA